UUGGAUCAGGCAAAGGCAACGGCGGCUUCCCCCUUCCCUUCUCCUACCUCCUGUUCUUCCUCCUACCUUCAUAUUCCUUCACUAAUUCCUUGUAUGUGAGCUUGAUUACCUUGUAAUGGAGUGAACCGCGGGUCAGAUCCUAACAUCGUGGCAUCAGAGCCUCCUUCCAUCCUUCCGAUUUGCCGCAAAUUCUACCGAGUUCGUCCGAUUUUUGCCUAUUUUUUUCCCAGUUCAUCAAUCUCUUCACCACCAUGCAUCCGGAGACAAAGGCCUACCUAGACAACAACUACGCACGGAUCAUGGCGCGCUACGAUGCCAUGGACAGGCAGCACGACGCGAUACUCUCCAAGCUCCUCGCGAGCGUAUCGACCCCGCAGCCGGCACGCCCCAUGGGCACGGCAGCUGAUGGCGGCCUUGCCGACGAUGCCUCUGUCCCUACGGUCGCCCCGCCACCUUCUCCACCACUACCCAAGUCCAGGAGGGCCCCGGGGUCACCCAUGAUGCACCCCCAAUCUGCAUGGGGAUAGCGCCCGUCACCUGUUCGGCGGAAUGCUUGACGCAGGUCGUCACCAUCGUCAGUGUCAACGAGGUCCACGACGCCGCCACAACCGUCUGCUUCGAGCCCGCAGUCAAUCUCUUCCACCAGGAGGUCGAGCAGCUCACGCAUGUGCCUUCCAUCGUCACCAACACCACCCCUUCUGCCAAGGUCGUCGCCACAGUGGCAACCAUCACCGACGUCGACCCCAAGGCCGUCGUACAGGAGUUGGAUACCUCACCCCUACCCUUCAUCAACACCUCCACCUGGGUCGUGAGUGAUGGGGAGCACGGAGUCCUUCUCGUCGUCUCCAGUAACCUCGCUGCAUCAGCGCCGACCAUGCGCUGGGUAGACUGCCCUAUCCCUGCAGGCGACUGGGUGAAGCCUGUGACUGUCGCCAUCGACGGUGCCGACGAGACACAUGACACUGCCAUCGUUGAGCGUUUGCACCCGCCUUCCUUCGAACAUCAACCACGGCCACCACCUGUACAAGUUCUGUUCAAUCACAUGGGAUCCCUAUUCAGGCCUAGCCCGUGGCCGUCGUUCCGACCUCUGUCCUUCUCAAGCUACCCGGACAUUUCAAGUAUCCAUAGUCAAUCACAUGGAGUUCUCUGCUUCAGUCCUUGGUUAAUUCGGACAGCUCAAGACCCUCCCAUGAGCUCAAUCAUCAACUCAUUGCAGUUGUCCAUGAAUCAUGAUCCGGACAACCCGAUGCCCAAAGAGUGCUCGCUCUUCUGCCUCCUUGACACACCUAUACCCUCACUGAUGUCAAAGGUGUUUCCCCAUGUCAGGCACAAGAGGCUGAUGCUACGACCGACACCGUGGCCAUCAUUUUGGAUGAAUCUUGCAGAGGGAAACGAGGACAAUAAAGGGCUUGCGGAACUCCAUGCAUGUUCCAGUACUAUUGCUCACGAGCUGCAUUGUUCAUGUAUCGCUACAGUGGUUGUGCAUAUGUUUCGGAGUGUGUAUAAACUGGGACCUCUGAGCGCCAAACUGCCAAGCAGUAUUUGUCUUCAGUUAAUGCAAAUUGAGUCGUUCAUGUCUUCUGCUCCAGCUACCCUCACAGUUCGAUGGAAACCUACCUGUAACAAGCAUCCAUUGCAUUCUACCCAGUUUCCAAAAAAGCUGCAGCUAUAUGAACUAGUCAGCCACAUGGAUAUCAGUUCUCGAUUAGUUGAUAGUGAGAGGAGUAGCAUUCCUGUAUCAACCAAGGCAUGUAACCUAUUAUUGGGCAACAUAGACUUCAAGUGUCACAUAACUCAUGGCGAAAUGGAUUCCAAAAUAUUACAACAAGCAGGUAUUCAGUGUGUGCAGCCAACAAACUCUGUUCGAGCAUAUCUGAAAUUAGAUGAAGUCUGUGUUGCUGCUGUUUGCAAAUUUGACCAGGGAACUUCUCUGGACGGGACGUUGAUACUUUGUUUCAAUGAGCGACCACUUCUUAUUUGUACAACUCGGGUGCAUUGGAAGCUUUCUGAGACGGGUGCUUGCUGGAUCCCAAUGGUGCCAAGCUAUAUUCCUGUCCUGAGUCAUCCAAUAAAACAAUUUAUGGAUGAUCUGACCAUGAGUACUACAGAGCAACGGUUAAUUAUCUGUUGGGUGCAGUUCUCUUAUGAAUUUCGUGCUCAAGACGCCCAACCGAUGUUUUGGUUCAGUAAAAGAAGUGCUCAGCUGAAGCUACCUGGAUCGUAUUUUUUAUGCACUUGUCAGGCAGUACAGUUGCUGUACCAUUGGGUUCAUGAGCACGUCACUGAAUUGGCUGGUAGUUGUUACCUUGCGAAAUUGUGGCACACUAGCGAUUCCCAUGAUUCGGUACAUCAAUGGGUAGUUCCUAUAUGUGCCAAUAUACAAGCCGGUGGCGACCUGUUCAAGUAUAAGUGGAGCGGACAAUAUGAAGGGAGACGGUUGAAGCCUAAUUUCCUACAAGCUAGUUCUAGCCCCUGUUCUGAUGCAUAUUUCUAUGGGAACCAAUACACAGUGGUCGUUGAACUGUUGGUGUAUCUUGUUGGGCAGCUAAGUGACAUGUUUCAGAAGUGGAGAAGCCAAUAUCAUAUAGGGGAGAGCAACGAAAACGCUUAUAACUAUGGUAUAUGCCUUGGCAUCUCAGUGGUAGGGAGUGGGCUCCUUCUGAUUGAGUUGGAACUACUUAUUCCAAAACCAGGAGAGCAUUUGGUCUUGUUGCAACCCAAGCCUCCAUAGUCACCUCUGGUUCCACCACAAAUUUCUACACAAUUCAGCAGCAAUAUGCGAAGAACUAAUUCAGAGUUUCUACACCUCGCCGGAGUUCUUUGGGAAAUCACUCCAUUAUGGAUCUGUGCUGAUCAUGUUAAUAUCUUGUCAAGCCAUUGGUGGUGCUUCUCUUGGGGCACUUACCCAGAUGCAAAUGUCCUUGCUGCAUGUCUGGGACGCUCAAACCCGAAGAAGUUUCAGAGCACUGCACACAACAAUGACCAACAUGCAGUACAGUCACUUCAACCGACAACUUCGUCUUAUGCUCAAUGGGAUUCAGGAGGAUUGGAUUUUGCAGAACCAGCGAAGAACGGGCACCGGCUUGGGGGCAAGCCGACUGUUAAGGAGGAGGGGAUGUCAGCGACCUAAUUACUAUCACGGCCACGUCGACCCACGGCAAGGCAGCCAGCCCACCAAGAGCGACCAACACAUGGGCCUGGGCCGUCGAGAACCAGCAAGAGCUACCAGCUAUAUAUCUACAGGGGACAGCAAUGAGCUAGCCAUCCGGGCUUGGAUCAGGCAAAGGCAACGGCGGCUUCCCCCUUCCCUUCUCCUACCUCCUGUUCUUCCUCCUACCUUCAUCUUCCUUCACUAAUUCCUUGUAUGUGAGCUUGAUUACCUUGUAAUGGAGUGAACCGCGGGUCAGAUCCUAACAUGUCUGUUUGUGAAAAGGAAAAAAAUCAAGGAAAAGAAAAUAAACGAACAGAUAAGACCUGGGGCUACGUGGCUCAAUCUGUUCCACCAAUCCUCCGCAGCAGGCGACGACAGCAUAUCGGCGGCAGCGACAGGGCACGUCCAUCUUCCCUUGGACCGGCGGCGGCGACAGGGCACGUCCAUCUUCCCUUGGACCGGCAGCGGCGCUGGAGCGCACAGCCUAUGGUUUAUCAACAUGGAAGGGGAUAACAGUGUUGUGAAAUUCACUAACCAGCCGGUAACCAUUAAGAAGAAAGAAGUAACUAAGAAG